GGGUCAGUAGGUAGGUCGUGCCACCCGUACGUACUGGUCUCACUGAUUCCUCUUUCCUGAAGAACCGUAAUGCCAUUAAUUUGGUGUUGCGGGGAAACAGGACUGUUACUUUGAAAAAAUUAGAGUGUUUAAAGCAAGCUAACGCUUGAAUACAUUAGCAUGGAAUAAUGAAAUAGGACGAUCGAUCCUAUUUUGUUGGUUUCUAGGAUUGACGUA
rnacentral:rRNA from 1 species